rnacentral:rRNA from 1 species
UGCAGUCGAACGGCAGCACGGACUUCGGUCUGGUGGCGAGUGGCGAACGGGUGAGUAAUAUAUCGGAACAUACCCAGUAGUGGGGGAUAACUAUCCGAAAGGAUAGCUAAUACCGCAUACGAUCUGUGGAUGAAAGCAGGGGAUCUUCGGACCUUGUGCUAUUGGAAUGGCCGAUAUCUGAUUAGCUAGUUGGUAGGGUAAAAGCCUACCAAGGCGACGAUCAGUAGCUGGUCUGAGAGGACGACCAGCCACACUGGAACUGAGACACGGUCCAGACUCCUACGGGAGGCAGCAGUGGGGAAUUUUGGACAAUGGGGGCAACCCUGAUCCAGCAAUGCCGCGUGAGUGAAGAAGGCCCUCGGGUUGUAAAGCUCUUUUGUCAGGGAAGAAACGGAGUUCUCUAAUAUAGGAUUCUAAUGACGGUACCUGAAGAAUAAGCACCGGCUAACUACGUGCCAGCAGCCGCGGUAAUACGUAGGGUGCAAGCGUUAAUCGGAAUUACUGGGCGUAAAGCGUGCGCAGGCGGUUUUGUAAGUCUGAUGUGAAAUCCCCGGGCUCAACCUGGGAACUGCAUUGGAGACUGCAAGGCUAGAGUGUGUCAGAGGAGGGUAGAAUUCCACGUGUAGCAGUGAAAUGCGUAGAGAUGUGGAGGAAUACCGAUGGCGAAGGCAGCCCCCUGGGAUAACACUGACGCUCAUGCACGAAAGCGUGGGGAGCAAACAGGAUUAGAUACCCUGGUAGUCCACGCCCCAAACGAUGUCUACUAGUUGUCGGGACUUAAUUGUCUUGUUAACGCAGCUAACGCGUGAAGUAGACCGCCUGGGGAGUACGGUCGCAAGAUUAAAACUCAAAGGAGUUGACGGGGACCCGCACAAGCGGUGGAUGAUGUGGAUUAACUCGAUGCAACGCGAAAAACCUUACCUACCCUUGACAUGGCAGGAAUCCCGAAGAGAUUUGGGAGUGCUCGCAAGAGAACCUGCACACAGGUGCUGCAUGGCUGUCGUCAGCUCGUGUCGUGAGAUGUUGGGUUAAGUCCCGCAACGAGCGCAACCCUUGUCAUUAGUUGCUACGAAAGGGCACUCUAAUGAGACUGCCGGUGACAAACCGGAGGAAGGUGGGAUGACGUCAAGUCCUCAUGGCCCUUAUGGGUAGGGCUUCACACGUCAUACAAUGGUACAUACAGAGGGCCGCCAACCCGCGAGGGGGAGCUAAUCCCAGAAAGUGUAUCGUAGUCCGGAUUGUAGUCUGCAACUCGACUACAUGAAGUUGGAAUCGCUAGUAAUCGCGGAUCAGCAUGUCGCGGUGAAUACGUUCCCGGGUCUUGUACACACCGCCCGUCACACCAUGGGAGCGGGUUCUGCCAGAAGUAGGUAGCUUAACCGCAAGGAGGGCGCU